UAGGGAAUAUUGGGCAAUGGACGAGAGUCUGACCCAGCCAUGCCGCGUGCAGGAAGACGGCGUUCUGCGUUGUAAACUGCUUUUAUCUGGGAAGAAAAGGCCCGUGCGCGGGACAUUGCCGGUACCAGAUGAAUAAGCACCGGCUAACUCCGUGCCAGCAGCCGCGGUAAUACGGAGGGUGCAAGCGUUGUCCGGAUUUAUUGGGUUUAAAGGGUGCGUAGGCGGCUGUUUAAGUCAGUGGUGAAAGACUCCGGCUCAACCGGAGCAGUGCCAUUGAUACUGGAUAGCUUGAGUGUUGGAGGGGUACAUGGAAUUGAUGGUGUAGCGGUGAAAUGCAUAGAUACCAUCAGGAACACCGAUAGCGAAGGCAUUGUACUGGCCAACAACUGACGCUGAGGCACGAAAGCAUGGGGAGCGAACAGG
rnacentral:rRNA from 1 species